UUAGGGUCCGUUUGGAAGCCAGGAAAAUAUUUUCCUAGUUUUACGGUGUUUGGAAGCUUGAAAACAUUUUUCCAAAGGGAAAAUGUUUUACUAGACACGGGUAAAAUGACCUUCAAGUUGGGAAAAAUGUCUUACUGAUUUCAUUUCAGUAAGACAUUUUCCAUUUCCUCUUCAUCCAGGCAAAUUUUACACGCUGCUAUUUCGUUUCCUAUCUUCCCAUCUUUCUCAGGAUCUCAUUCCUCUUCGCAAGGAACUGAUAUCAGUCGACUGAUAUCACUGGUGUCAAGAAGCAAGGCUUCCCUUGCCUUAGAGGAAUUAGGACGUUGAAAUGCUUGUCAUUCUGCUCUGCUAAAUUAGUUGCGACUCUCAUUUCUUGUUUAAAGGUGGGGUUAGUGGAUUUUCUUGUAUAAAUUUUUUUUUUUUGCAAUAUAUAUCAGAAUUCUCUGCUGUUAAUUUUUUUACGUCCAAUACAAUCACUCUUUGACAUGGAUAUAGUUCAUUGCCUGUUUUCAACAAAGUGUUUCCUAACUGCCUGCCUAUCUGUCUCUUGUUUUGGCUAAUUAAUAUUUCUCAUAAUACCCAUUGCUGUCAUUGCAGAGUAUUUUUAUUUCUCAUAAUAUGUAAAGAGAUGAUAGCAAUGCCUUUUGGCUACCUUUUUAUUCUCAUGACCAUUCAUCUUGGUCAAUUACAUAAAUAAAGAAAGUUGUCUAUCACCACAUUCCGUUUCAUAAUGAAUCAACCUUUUUUUUUUUAAAAAAAAGAAAAGAAAAGAAGGAAGCAUGGAAUGGGUGAUAAAGGCAGAAGCUUUACAACUCAAAGAUGAUGAUGACAUAGAGCUAUGUUGUCUACUUAUCUAAUCAUUCCAUGCAUCAGUUUGAAACCAAAAGCUUAAUUAGGUUUGUUUGGGCCAAGACACGUGUUUUUCCGUUUAUUAUUAUUUUCAUCUCUUGGAGGUGGGAUUAGGAAAUGGGAAUGUAUUAGUACUCAUUUUACAUCAGCUGCUGUGCGCCACUGCAUCUUUAUCAUCCAACAUUUUAUGUUUAAAGUAUGCUUUGUUUAAUAAACAUAUAUAAUUUCUCUCCAUCUAGUGAUACAUUUUUCUAUUUUGAUUCUUAAUUUUUAUGUUUAAACUCACAUUCAUUUGAGACAGCAUGCAGUAUUGUAGUUUACUAGAAAACGAAUGGAAUUGAUCCUGUUGUCUUACUUUGAUGAUUGUAUUCCAUUUUCUCCAAAAUCCAAAUAACUCUACCUAUUUAUUGAAUUUUUGAGUGUUUGCCUUAGUUGUUGCUUAUGGAUGUAUGAAGAUUCUUGAUGCACUCACCUCAAGAGAAAUUGUGAUUGUGGAAGUUGAUGUGGAAAGUUGAAGAAAAAAUUGGACAGGCUCCGAGGGAUGUGAUCAAUUAUAUGGUUGAAUUUAUUUUAAAAGAAAAAUCGAAGCCCUUCGUUUUCAACUUUGUCUUAACCGAUCAGUAUGAGCUGCAGUUUUUUUGUUAUGAUGUGGAUAUUGAGUGUUGGGUUUAAAUGAUUGCUUGAUCUUAGCUUGGACUCAGACUAACAUAGACUCAACUGUUAGUAUUUAAGGCUGCAUUGCCUAUAACCUCGGAACCAGCAGUGGUACAUCUGUGCUUGAAAUAGUUGCUGCUUUUGAGAAAGCUUCUGGAAAGAAAAUCCCCAUUAAACUAUGCCCUAGAAGGCUAGGAGAUGCUACAGCUGUUUAUGCUUCCACUGAAAAAGCUGAAAAAGAACUUGGUUGCAAAGCAAAAUAUGGUAUAGCAGAGAUGUGCAGAGAUCAGUGGAAGUGGGCAAGCAACAAUCAUGGGGAUACCAGUCAAAGACUUAGGCUUUAACUAAAUACUAAUUUUCUUCCCCAGUCUUUUAAAAAUGUCUCAUAGGGAGAAUUAAGUGUACAAAUACUUGUUUAAUUUAAACAAAACUGAUCUUUGAUGAUCAAAAGUUAGGAUUUAUCAAAUGUUCAAAGAUCUUGUAAAAUUCCUCUGUGUUACAUUUAUAAGUCUUUGUAAGAGUGAUGUUUUUAUAAUUUCUGAAGUUUAAAAAACAAA